CAAAGGCUCAGUAGCCAGUGUAGAUCCUGUCUUUUGUAAUCAGCAGCUACAUCUGGCUACUGGGUCUCUG
rnacentral:pre_miRNA from 15 species